rnacentral:rRNA from 1 species
AUAUCAGUAAGCGGAGGAAAAGAAACUAACAAGGAUUGCCCCAGUAGCGGCGAGUGAACAGGCAAAAGCUCAAAAUGGAAAUCCUGCGCGCAGAGUGCCGGAAUUGUAAUCUAGAGAGUUAGCGCGAAGUCAUGGUCUCCGCACAAGUUCCUUGGAAAAGGACGCCGAAGAGGGUGACAGCCCCAUACACGGCGGAGGCUGGGCGUAGCGGUGGCUUCAAAGAGUCGGGUUGUUUGGGACUGCAGCCCUAAAUGGGAGAUAAACUUCUUCUAAAGCUAAAUACCGAUGGGAGACCGAUAGCGCACAAGUA